rnacentral:rRNA from 1 species
UACGUAGGGUGCAAGCGUUAAUCGGAAUUACUGGGCGUAAAGCGUGCGCAGGCGGCUUUGCAAGACAGAUGUGAAAUCCCCGGGCUUAACCUGGGAACUGCAUUUGUGACUGCAUGGCUGGAGUGCGGCAGAGGGGGAUGGAAUUCCGCGUGUAGCAGUGAAAUGCGUAGAUAUGCGGAGGAACACCGAUGGCGAAGGCAGCCCCCUGGGUCGACACUGACGCUCAGGCACGAAAGCGUGGGGAGCAAACAGG